AUUCGUAUGAGCCUCAUGGAAACUACUGUCGCUACCACAGAAAAAUUGCGAUGUCAUUAAAUCAUCAUCCUUGUGGUAAUUCUGUUUAAUUUCUCUCUACGAAAUAUCUUCGCGCAUUCUACCAAAGAUUCCGUGUUAGAAUUCCAAGCUUUUAUUGCAAUUGAACACCUAAAAGAAAAUAAUGGCGAUCACAAAUCACUCUACGAAAUUGAUGAACUUCAUCGCGUUGUGGAACAUUUACACGUCUUCUUAAGCCUCUAAAAUGCGAUGCAAAUGUAGUUACAGCCUUAACGUUUACCGAUGCCCGCCCGCUACGAGCAGAAAUGUGAACUUUAGUGUACCUAAAAACAGUAAUAUCAGUAAUAUAACUAAUAUGCUAGGAGAAACGAGGAAAAAUGGAUAUAUCGUUCUAGUUACGCCCCAAUUUUCUGUAUGGCCCGGAUUGCUUAUAGUGUUUUUGCUGAAGUCAAACUAAUGCAUGAAAUAUGACUCGGUAUGAGAAAGAAAUUUUCAUCAUACACACUCCAUUAACGUAGUGAUGGCGUCAAUUUGUAAUAUUUUGGAUUUUUUUUUCAUUCGUA